UACGAAGGGUGCAAGCGUUACUCGGAAUUACUGGGCGUAAAGCGUGCGUAGGUGGUUUGUUAAGUCCGAUGUGAAAGCCCUGGGCUCAACCUGGGAAUGGCAUUGGAUACUGGCAGGCUAGAGUGCGGUAGAGGGCAGUGGAAUUCCCGGUGUAGCAGUGAAAUGCGUAGAGAUCGGGAGGAACAUCUGUGGCGAAGGCGACUGCCUGGACCAGCACUGACACUGAGGCACGAAAGCGUGGGGAGCAAACGGG
rnacentral:rRNA from 1 species